AACGAACGCUGGCGGCAUGCCUAACACAUGCAAGUCGAACGCCCCGCAAGGGGAGUGGCGAACGGGUGAGUAACGCGUGGGAACCUACCCAGCAGUUGGGGAUAACCGCGGGAAACUGCGGCUAAUACCGAAUACGUCCUUUGGGAGAAAGAUUUAUCGCUGUUGGAGGGGCCCGCGUCGGAUUAGCUAGUUGGUGAGGUAACGGCUCACCAAGGCGACGAUCCGUAGCUGGUCUGAGAGGAUGAUCAGCCACACUGGGACUUAGACACGGCCCAGACUCCUACGGGAGGCAGCAGUGGGGAAUAUUGGACAAUGGGGGCAACCCUGAUCCAGCAAUGCCGCGUGAGUGAUGAAGGCCUUAGGGUUGUAAAGCUCUUUUACCGGGGACGAUGAUGACGGUACCCGGAGAAUAAGCCCCGGCUAACUUCGUGCCAGCAGCCGCCGUAACAC
rnacentral:rRNA from 1 species